rnacentral:lncRNA from 1 species
UUGCUGCAUAUACCAUAGACCAUAGACCUGAAAAAUAUCAACCCAAAUUAUUAGUAGCUGAAAUCCCAUCAAAUUUCAGUAAAUUUGAAUGCUAUGCAAAUUGGUUAAGUUAAAACCAAGGUACACUUCAAUAGCCAUGAAAGAACAUGGAACUUACAAAAAGGCUUGAGUUGUCAUUUCUCAAUGUUUUUGCAUUACCAAAUGCUUCUAGGAUAGGAUUGGUCUUCAAGAUUUCAUACUCUAUUCCACUCCCACCACCAAGAACUGCCAAAUAUUGCAUUGCUAUCUUUGCUGUCUCAGUUUUUGUGCCCACUUUUUGUGCCCAACCUAGCAUUGAAC